UAGUGCCAAGGCCUGCAACUGAGUUAUGGCACCUGCAGUCAUAAAGGGAGGGACGGAAAAGGCAUAUGAAGAAGUUCGCUUUUUUCUUUUGUCUCUAUUUUCCAAAAUGUUUUUCCUUUUGGAAGAGAGGUCCCAGGAAGUCCCACCCUGACUCCUCUGAGUGGAAGGUUGGAAUGCAGCCCUAGGGACCAUUGGGAACCAUCCACCCACUUAUGGGACAUGGCAGGAUGUACUCUAAAGUCAGACCACAGUCAAAUUCUACUUCUGCUUCUUUCCAGCUAUGAAGCCUUGGAUAUAAAUGUGAAGGGGGAACAGCCAAGAUUCGAGAAGAGAAUAUGAGAAGGAAAAAAAGGGAGGUCUGGAAGAGAAGCAGGAGCUGGAUCAUGGACGCUGGGGUCUCUGGGUACACACAGACAAGAAAAUGAGUCUAUCCCCCAAAAGAUGCUUCCAGGGCUGCUUUGCAAUCAACAGGAGAUCGGCUAGAGGGUUUUUGGGAAAGGCCACUCCUGUAGAGUAUGUUAUAGAUUUCAAAAGUCAACCUAGGAAAUUAAUUCAGCAUCAACUGUUGGGUGAGAUGUGCCUGGACUCUCAAGGCAGUCAGGCUGCACGCAUUUAGGACUCAUAUCUGCCGUUUUCACAUUAUACAGAAUUUUCAGUUGAUAACAUUUCUCAAUAUAAGCAUGGAGACAAUUUCUCCAGCAUCUCAUAGGUUCUUGGAGUACUGGACUGAGGAAGGAGCUGUUUACCAUUUCUUAAGAUGCUUGCCAUCGAUUACAGGUAUGUGUGAGUGGAACAGUCACCAAGGGGUGACGAGGAGUGUCCAGACAGACACGCAGAGUCAGCUGAACACACCAGGGUGGGGAGAAUAUUUCCAAAGGUCACAUGUAAGGGCGGUAUGGUUAGUGCGGAAAUCACGAGCCACUGAGCAUCACCUGAGUGUGAGAGCGGGGGCUGAGUCAACACAUUGGCACUUGACAUUUGAAUUUGAUCUUUCUAAGCUGUACGAAAGCAACUAAUGCCACUUGGCAGCACAUUAAAAGUGGCUCUGAAGAACCAAGACUGUGCAGUGGAGCUAAGACAGUUCGCAGAUGGGCAAACUGAGAUUGGAAGGGAUUAAGCCUAAGAACCUCACCAACAGCGAAUGGCAGCGCUGGUGCCCCGUCCUGGGAAUAAAGACAUUGUCUGGAAAGGAGAGAGCAGUCUUCCUUGUUCCUAUUUCUGGUUGCAGGAAGAUAGGGUGACAAGAAAUGUAGAUGAACAAAUGUGCUUUGGCAGUUUUAUUAUCACUCUAUUCCUAGAUUCGAUGAUGCUUUCAAGACACCUCCUCUCCUGUUUCAGAUUUCUCUCAAAUUAUCUCUGUGAGAUAGCCCAGGCAGACGAUCAUGUCUCUAUUAAUCAAUCAACAAAUAUUUGGUACCACACCGAGCAAGUCACUGUUCAUAGUGGCUUGUUCUCCGCCUGCAGGGAGUUGAAGUCUAGCAAAGGCCCCUACAAGGAGUGGUGAAACUGAAGCCUGCGCCCUGAUUGCUAAGUGAAGGCUAUGGAGCUGUAGCUUUCAAAUGGUGUCCAUGGAAACCCCAGAUCCCAGCACCUAUGGUCUGCUUCUCAAUGAUUCAGGAUGGUUUUGUCCUCAGAGACUUCUGGCAGGGCCAAAGACAGCUUUGGUUCUGACAACAUUCCGCAAAGCAUGCCAGGUAGGAGAAGGGGUGUGUCCUGCUAGUAACCAGGGCACUGGGAAACUGCUGGAUAUCCUGCCAUGUACGGGACAAAACCCACAGUAAGGAGUUCGCCAACAACACAGAAAUCACGCCCAGGCUGAGGAUUGCUACUCCAGAAAAACACAGCAAUAAAACAACAGAAUCACAAUACACUGAACUCAUGUGCUCAUUUGAAGACUAAUAUGCACUAGGAAAUUAGGUGCUUUCUCGAGAGACCUUCCUGGCCCAGCAAUCACACAGAUCCCUUCCCAACAAGGUG